GAAAUGCGAUAAGUAAUGUGAAUUGCAGAAUUCAGUGAAUCAUCGAAUCUUUGAACGCACAUUGCGCCCGCCAGUAUUCUGGCGGGCAUGCCUGUUCGAGCGUCAUUUCAACCAUCAAGCCCCCGGCUUGUGUUGGGGACCUGCGGCUGCCCGCAUGCCCUGAAAAACAGUGGCGGGCUCGCUGUCACACCGAGCGUAGUAGCAUACAUUCUCGCUCAGGGCGUGCUGCGGGUUCCGGCCGUUAAACGACCUUCAUAACCCAAGGUUGACCUCGGAUCAGGUAGGAAGACCCGCUGAACUUAAGC
rnacentral:misc_RNA from 1 species